UACGAAGGGUGCAAGUGUUACUCGGAAUUACUGGGCGUAAAGCGUGCGUAGGUGGUUUGUUAAGUCUGAUGUGAAAGCCCUGGGCUCAACCUGGGAACGGCAUUGGAUACUGGCUUACUAGAGUGCGGUAGAGGGUAGUGGAAUUCCCGGUGUAGCAGUGAAAUGCGUAGAUAUCGGGAGGAACAUCUGUGGCGAAGGCGACUACCUGGACCAGCACUGACACUGAGGCACGAAAGCGUGGGAGCAAACAGG
rnacentral:rRNA from 1 species